UUUCCUGCCACCAGAGUGACGAAUGCUUUGAUAUGUUCCUGAGUUUCUGUGAUGCUCUGCCAUGAAGUCCUGUAACUCAUCUCACUGAUGGUGUUGAUCUCAAGCUGAAGAGAAGCUCUUGGAGGACAGGAAGAUGGUCUGCAGCAUUGUGUCUCCCACCCAACCUGACAUAGCCUUUGGCAGCUGGAACUCAGUAACUCUACUGGACACUAGUUUAAACCAAUGCUGGGGCUAAGAAGACUGCCAACCAGCACCUGUCCUGAACCUGAAGGCACGAAGAAUUCUCCUGUGUUUUGCUAGGCUCGAUUUAUACACAGCUACUGCUCUUUUACUGUGUAAAGCAUGCCUGAAUUGAGCACACAGGCAUCAUCCAUCCAAGAUGCACAUUUUUGUUCUGUUACCUAACAAAGAGGAACCCCUGACCAUUCUUCAACAUAUUGGAGCAACAAAGUUGACUCCCACAC